GAGAGGAUUGGACUAAGAUGACUUCUACAUCUGUGAUCUUAUGAAAAAUGAGCAAGUAUUUCCUGAAUUUCAUUAGGAGAGUAAUACAAAUAAGGAACAUUAUCCUGAUUCUUCUUCCAUUUUUACUGUGUUGGAUUUUCAUCUCUUCCAUGGGACAGACCCACAGUGCCAGGAAAACAUUGAAAGAUUUUGAGCAGGGGAUUGAGGUCUGGCAGCAUUCUAGUCCACGGGCGUGAGUGCAGCCUAAGGUAUACAAGAGGCUUCUCUAGGUUGGUACAGCAUGUUCCUGCUCAAAUGGUAGGCAGCCUCAGAAAGCCACAUUGAUGGAUGAGGAUUUAUCUGUUGCUAGCAGAAAAUUCCAUUGGCUCGACUCAUUUAAUAGAUAAGAAAAACUAAGGCCAGGAAAGGACUGCCUGAGG